rnacentral:lncRNA from 1 species
UCACAGCCAAACCUCUCCGGUGGGAAUCUUAUGGUAUUAAAAUCUUCCUAACACCAAAGGUAUAUCCCACCUCCCCAUCUCAUAUCUUAACUCCUCCCAAAGGGACUCUUUUGACCCUCUAUAGGUCCAUAAAUACCCCUUAAAUCCCCACUUCAUCCCCUUAUUAAUGUAUCUAAAUCGGACCCCUAACACGAGCUCCCAUUUGUUAGCCCUUACAUUCCAACUUCUUAUUAUCCCCG